UACGAAGGGGGCUAGCGUUGCUCGGAAUCACUGGGCGUAAAGGGUGCGUAGGCGGGUCUUUAAGUCAGGGGUGAAAUCCUGGAGCUCAACUCCAGAACUGCCUUUGAUACUGAGGAUCUUGAGUCCGGGAGAGGUGAGUGGAACUGCGAGUGUAGAGGUGAAAUUCGUAGAUAUUCGCAAGAACACCGGUGGCGAAGGCGGCAUCCUGGACCAAUAUUGACGCUGAGGAGCGAAAAGCUAGGGGAGCAAACGGGG
rnacentral:rRNA from 1 species